CCACUUAGACCCUCUCUGCCAAUAACAGCUAGGUUCCCUCCCCACUCAGACCCUCUCUGCCAAUAACAGCUAGGUUCCCUCCCCACUCAGACCCUCUCUGCCAAUAACAGCUAGGUUCCCUCCCUACUCAGAUCCUCUCUGCCAAUAACAACUAGGUUCCCUCCCCACUCAGACCCUCUCUGCCAAUAACAACUAGGUUCCCUCCCCACUCAGACCCUCUCUGCCAAUAACAGCUAGGUUCCCUCCCCACUCAGACCCUCUCUGCCAAUAACAGCUAGGUUCCCUCCCCACUCAGACCCUCUCUGCCAAUAACAACUAGGUUCCCUCCCCACUCAGACCCUCUCUGCCAAUAACAGCUAGGUUCCCUCCCUACUCAGAUCCUCUCUGCCAAUAACAACUAGGUUCCCUCCCCACUCAGACCCUCUCUGCCAAUAACAACUAGGUUCCCUCCCCACUCAGACCCUCUCUGCCAAUAACAGCUAGGUUCCCUCCCCACUCAGACCCUCUCUGCCAAUAACAGCUAGGUUCCCUCCCCACUCAGACCCUCUCUGCCAAUAACAGCUAGGUUCCCUCCCCACUCAGACCCUCUCUACCAAUAACA